rnacentral:rRNA from 1 species
GAUGAACGCUGGCGGCGUGCCUAAUACAUGCAAGUCGAGCGAACGGACGAGAAGCUUGCUUUUCUGAUGUUAGCGGCGGACGGGUGAGUAACACGUGGAUAACCUACCUAUAAGACUGGGAUAACUUCGGGAAACCGGAGCUAAUACCGGAUAAUAUUUUGAACCGCAUGGUUCAAAAGUGAAAGACGGUCUUGCUGUCACUUAUAGAUGGAUCCGCGCUGCAUUAGCUAGUUGGUAAGGUAACGGCUUACCAAGGCAACGAUGCAUAGCCGACCUGAGAGGGUGAUCGGCCACACUGGAACUGAGACACGGUCCAGACUCCUACGGGAGGCAGCAGUAGGGAAUCUUCCGCAAUGGGCGAAAGCCUGACGGAGCAACGCCGCGUGAGUGAUGAAGGUCUUCGGAUCGUAAAACUCUGUUAUUAGGAAAGAACAUAUGUGUAAGUAACUGUGCACAUCUUGACGGUACCUAAUCAGAAAGCCACGGCUAACUACGUG